rnacentral:snoRNA from 1 species
UGCUGUGAUGAAUUUGCUCAGACUAGAGUCUCUGACUUCUUCAGUGUUGAGGCUUUGAAGCCCUGAGCA